UACUGAAGGUGCAGGCGUUAAUCGGAAUUACUGGGCGUAAAGCGCGCGUAGGCGGCUUGGUCAGUUAGGUGUGAAAGCCCUGGGCUCAACCUGGGAACUGCAUCUAAUACUGCCAAGCUAGAGUAUGGGAGAGGGCUGUGGAAUUUCUAGUGUAGCGGUGAAAUGCGUAGAUAUUAGAAGGAACAUCAGUGGCGAAGGCGGCAGCCUGGCCCAAUACUGACGCUGAGGUGCGAAAGCGUGGGGAGCAAACAGG
rnacentral:rRNA from 1 species